rnacentral:misc_RNA from 1 species
GAAAUGCGAUAAGUAAUGUGAAUUGCAGAAUUCCGUGAAUCAUCGAAUCUUUGAACGCACAUUGCGCCCUCUGGCAUUCCGGGGGGGCAUGCCUGUCCGAGCGUCAUUACGCACCCUCAAGCCCGGCUUGUGUGAUGGGCCCCGGCGUCUCGUUCGCGAGACGGGCCCGAAAGGCAGUGGCGGCGUCGACCCGAUGAGCCCGAGCGUAUGGGGACUUCUGUCACACGUUCGCGGUGCGGACCGGCGCCUGCUUUGACUUUUCUGAUUAUCCAGGUUGACCUCGGAUCAGGUAGGGAUACCCGCUGAACUUAAGC